rnacentral:tRNA from 1 species
CUCUCGAUAGCUCAGUUGGUAGAGCAUUAGACUGUAAAUUGAUUUUGCAUUGGAUUGCCAUCUAAUGGUCGGGUGUUCGACUCACCCUCGGGAGA